rnacentral:rRNA from 1 species
GACGAACGCUGGCGGCGUGCUUAACACAUGCAAGUCGUACGGUAAGGCCCUUUCGGGGGUACACGAGUGGCGCACGGGUGAGUAACACGUGAGUAACCUGCCCACAACUUUGGGAUAACGCUAGGAAACUGGUGCUAAUACUGGAUAUGUGCUCCUGCUGCAUGGUGGGGGUUGGAAAGCUCCGGCGGUUGUGGAUGGACUCGCGGCCUAUCAGCUUGUUGGUGGGGUAGUGGCCCACCAAGGCGGCGACGGGUAGCCGGCCUGAGAGGGUGACCGGCCACAUUGGGACUGAGAUACGGCCCAGACUCCUACGGGAGGCAGCAGUGGGGAAUAUUGCACAAUGGGCGCAAGCCUGAUGCAGCAACGCCGCGUGCGGGAUGACGGCCUUCGGGUUGUAAACCGCUUUCAGCAGGGACGAAGCUUUUUGUGACGGUACCUGCAGAAGAAGCACCGGCUAACUACGUG